rnacentral:rRNA from 1 species
UCGAGAAUCAUUCGCAAUGGGCGAAAGCCUGACGAUGCGACGCCGUGUGAGCGAUGAAGGCCUUCGGGUUGUAAAGCUCUUUCGCUUGGGAACAAGAGAGGUUUAUUAAUAAUAAGCCAAUUUGAGGGUACCAGGUAAAGAAGCACCGGCUAACUCCGUGCCAGCAGCUGCGGUAAUACGGAGGGUGCAAGCAUUAAUCGGAUUUAUUGGGCGUAAAGGGCGCGUAGGCGGAAACGUAAGUCAGAUGUUAAAUCUCGGGGCUCAACCUCGAACAGGCAUUUGAUACUGCGAUUCUAGAGGGUAGACGGAGAAAAUAGAAUUCCACAAGUAGCGGUGAAAUGCGUAGAUAUGUGGAGGAAUACCGGUGGCGAAGGCGGUUUUCUAGUUUAUACCUGACGCUGAGGCGCGAAAGCAAGGGGAGCAAACA